UUGCCCUAGUAACGGCGAGUGAAGCGGCAACAGCUCAAAUUUGAAAUCUGGCUCUUUCAGAGUCCGAGUUGUAAUUUGCAGAGGGCGCUUUGGCGUUGGCAGCGGUCCAAGUUCUUUGGAACAGGACGUCACAGAGGGUGAGAAUCCCGUACGUGGUCGCUAGCCUUCGCCGUGUAAAGCCCCUUCGACGAGUCGAGUUGUUUGGGAAUGCAGCUCUAAAUGGGAGGUAAAUUUCUUCUAAAGCUAAAUACUGGCCAGAGACCGAUAGCGCACAAGUAGAGUGAUCGAAAGAUGAAAAGCACUUUGGAAAGAGAGUCAAAUAGCACGUGAAAUUGUUGAAAGGGAAGCGCUUGCAGCCAGACUUGCCUGUAGUUGCUUAUCUAGACUUUUGUCUAGUGCACUCUUCUGCGGGCAGGCCAGCAUCAGUCUAGGCGGUUGGAUAAAGGUCUCUGUCAUGUACCUCUCUUCGGGGAGGCCUUAUAGGGGAGACGACAUGCAACCAGCCUGGACUGAGGUCCGCGCAUCUGCUAGGAUGCUGGCGUAAUGGCUGUAAGCGGCCCGUCUUGAAACACGGACCAAGGAGUCUAACAUCUAUGCGAGUGUUUGGGUGUCAAGCCCAGACGCGUAAUGAAAGUGAACGGAGGUGGGAACCCUUUGGGUGCACCAUCGACCGAUCCUGAUGUCUUCGGAUGGAUUUGAGUAAGAGCAUGGCUGUUGGGACCCGAAAGAUGGUGAACUAUGCUUGAAUAGGGUGAAGCCAGAGGAAACUCUGGUGGAGGCUCGCAGCGGUUCUGACGUGCAAAUCGAUCGUCAAAUUU
rnacentral:rRNA from 1 species